GAGCGCAACCCUCGCCUCUAGUUGCCAGCAUUCGGUUGGGGCGACUCUAGAGGGACUGCCGGCGACAAGUCCGGAGGAAGGUGGGGAUGACGUCAAAUCAUCAUGCCCCUUAUGACCUGGGCUACACACGUGCUACAAUGGGCGGUACAAAGGGCUGCGAACCCGCGAGGGGGAGCGAAUCCCAAAAAGCCGCUCUCAGUUCGGAUUGCAGGCUGCAACUCGCCUGCAUGAAGCCGGAAUCGCUAGUAAUCGCGGAUCAGCAUGCCGCGGUGAAUACGUUCCCGGGCCUU
rnacentral:rRNA from 1 species